rnacentral:rRNA from 1 species
CCGGAGUAAAGUUAACCGUUCAAGCACAUGCAGUCGAGCGGUAACAGAUCUAGCUUGCUAGAUGCUGACGAGCGGCGGACGGGUGAGUAAUGCAUAGGAAUCUGCCCGAUAGUGGGGGAUAACCUGGGGAAACCCAGGCUAAUACCGCAUACGUCCUACGGGAGAAAGGGGGCUUCGGCUCCCGCUAUUGGAUGAGCCUAUGUCGGAUUAGCUAGUUGGUAAGGUAAUGGCUUACCAAGGCGACGAUCCGUAGCUGGUCUGAGAGGAUGAUCAGCCACAUCGGGACUGAGACACGGCCCGAACUCCUACGGGAGGCAGCAGUGGGGAAUAUUGGACAAUGGGGGCAACCCUGAUCCAGCCAUGCCGCGUGUGUGAAGAAGGCCCUCGGGUUGUAAAGCACUUUCAGCGAGGAAGAACGCCUGUCGGUUAAUACCCGGCAGGAAAGACAUCACUCGCAGAAGAAGCACCGGCUAACUCCGUGCCAGCAGCCGCGGUAAUACGGAGGGUGCAAGCGUUAAUCGGAAUUACUGGGCGUAAAGCGCGCGUAGGUGGCUUGAUAAGCCGGUUGUGAAAGCCCCGGGCUCAACCUGGGAACGGCAUCCGGAACUGUCAGGCUAGAGUGCAGGAGAGGAAGGUAGAAUUCCCGGUGUAGCGGUGAAAUGCGUAGAGAUCGGGAGGAAUACCAGUGGCGAAGGCGGCCUUCUGGACUGACACUGACACUGAGGUGCGAAAGCGUGGGUAGCAAACAGGAUUAGAUACCCUGGUAGUCCACGCCGUAAACGAUGUCGACCAGCCGUUGGGUGCCUAGAGCACUUUGUGGCGAAGUUAACGCGAUAAGUCGACCGCCUGGGGAGUACGGCCGCAAGGUUAAAACUCAAAUGAAUUGACGGGGGCCCGCACAAGCGGUGGAGCAUGUGGUUUAAUUUCGAUGCAACGCGAAGAACCUUACCUACCCUUGACAUCUACAGAAGCCGGAAGAGAUUUCUGGUGUGCCUUCAGGUACCUGUUAGACAGGUGCUGCAUGGCUGUUCGUCAGCUCGUGUUGUGAAUGUGGGUUUAGUCUCGUUAACGAAGCCGCAACCUCUUGUUCUUUAUUUGGCA